GAUGAACGCUGGCGGCGUGCCUAAUACAUGCAAGUCGAGCGAACGGACGAGAAGCUUGCUUCUCUGACGUUAGCGGCGGACGUGUGAGUAACGCGUGUAUAACCUACCUAUAUGACUGGGAUAACUUCGGGACACCGGAGCUAAUACCGGAUAAUAUUUUGAACCGCAGGGUUCAAUAGUGAAAUACGGUCCUUCUGUCACUUAUAGAUGGAUCCGCGCUGCAUUAGCUAGUUGUUAAGGUAACGGCUUACCAAGGCAACGAUGCAUAGCCGACCUGAGAGGGGGAUCGGCCACACUGGAACUGAGACACGGUCCAGACUCCUACGGGAGGCAGCAGUAGGGAAUCGUCCGCAAUGGGGGAAAGCCUGACGGAGCAAGGCCGCGUGAGUGAUGAAGGUCUUCGGAUCGUAAAACUCGGUUAUUAGGGAAGAACAUAUGUGGAAGUAAAUGUGCACAUAUUGACGGUAACUAAUAAGAAAGCCACGGCUAACUACGUG
rnacentral:rRNA from 1 species